UACGGAAGGCAGCAGUGGGGAAUAUUGCACAAUGGGCGCAAGCCUGAUGCAGCCAUGCCGCGUGUAUGAAGAAGGCCUUCGGGUUGUAAAGUACUUUCAGUCGUGAGGAAGGUGUUAAGGUUAAUAACCUUAGCAAUUGACGUUAGCGACAGAAGAAGCACCGGCUAACUCCGUGCCAGCAGCCGCGGUAAUACGGAGGGUGCGAGCGUUAAUCGGAAUUACUGGGCGUAAAGGGCACGCAGGCGGUUAAUUAAGUUGGAUGUGAAAAUCCCCGGGCUUAACCUGGGAAUGGCAUUCAAGACUGGUUAGCUAGAGUCUUGUAGAGGGGGUAGAAUUCCAUGUGUAGCGGUGAAAUGCGUAGAGAUGUGGAGGAAUACCGGUGGCGAAAGGCGGCCCCUGGACAAAGACUGACGCUCAUGUGCGAAAGCGUGGGGAGCAAACAGGGAUUAGAUACC
rnacentral:rRNA from 1 species